AAGUCGUAACAAGGUCUCCGUAGGUGAACCUGCGGAGGGAUCAUUACAAGAACGCCCGGGCUUCGGCCUGGUUAUUCAUAACCCUUUGUUGUCCGACUCUGUUGCCUCCGGGGCGACCCUGCCUUCGGGCGGGGGCUCCGGGUGGACACUUCAAACUCUUGCGUAACUUUGCAGUCUGAGUAAACUUAAUUAAUAAAUUAAAACUUUUAACAACGGAUCUCUUGGCUCUGGCAUCGAUGAAGAACGCAGCGAAAUGCGAUAAGUAAUGUGAAUUGCAGAAUUCAGUGAAUCAUCGAAUCUUUGAACGCACAUUGCGCCCUCUGGUAUUCCGGAGGGCAUGCCUGUUCGAGCGUCAUUUCACCACUCAAGCCUCGCUUGGUAUUGGGCAACGCGGUCCGCCGCGUGCCUCAAAUCGUCCGGCUGGGUCUUCUGUCCCCUAAGCGUUGUGGAAACUAUUCGCUAAAGGGUGUUCGGGAGGCUACGCCGUAAAACAACCCCAUUUCUAAGGUUGACCUCAGAUCAGGUAGGAAUACGCGCUGAACUUAA
rnacentral:rRNA from 1 species